ACAUUUUUACGCCCGACUUUUAUUCAUUUUGAGUCAAUUUAUUUUUAUUUUUUAGUCAAAAUGUUCAUAAUAUUAAAAUAGAAUUAAUUAUGGUCUCAUUUAGUUUUUAUUUUGUUUAUUUUAUUUUAUUUUGUUUCAUUUUUAUUUGUUUUAAUUACUUCACACUCAUUAUGUACUACAAAAAUAUCUAGGGGUAUUUUUGAGAAAAAUAAUUUGGAUAACCCUAAUUGUAAUGCUAUAUAUAUU
rnacentral:lncRNA from 1 species